AACGAACGCUGGCGGCAUGCCUAACACAUGCAAGUCGAACGAGACCUUCGGGUCUAGUGGCGCGCGGGUGCGUAACGCGUGGGAAUCUGCCCUUGGGUUCGGAAUAACAGUUGGAAACGACUGCUAAUACCGGAUGAUGACGUAAGUCCAAAGAUUUAUCGCCCAGGGAUGAGCCCGCGUAGGAUUAGCUAGUUGGUGGGGUAAAGGCCUACCAAGGCGACGAUCCUUAGCUGGUCUGAGAGGAUGAUCAGCCACACUGGGACUGAGACACGGCCCAGACUCCUACGGGAGGCAGCAGUGGGGAAUAUUGGACAAUGGGCGAAAGCCUGAUCCAGCAAUGCCGCGUGAGUGAUGAAGGCCUUAGGGUUGUAAAGCUCUUUUACCCGGGAUGAUAAUGACAGUACCGGGAGAAUAAGCCCCGGCUAACUCCGUG
rnacentral:rRNA from 1 species